AGCCAGUGUCGCAUAAUGGUUGGAGUGUUGAACUAAGAAUCUGGAGACCAGGGUCCGAGUCCCUGCUCGGCUA